CGGGAAGCCCGGUUGGUGCCGGCGCUAGGCGGCUCGUCCCGUCUCCUAGUGGCGGUUGAGUCCCAAUAAGAGUGUGCACCAUGUUGCCGAUAUCAGAACUGAUUCUAACUGAGCCACUCACAGAUUUUAUUUAUUCAUUCGACAGAGAGAGAGACAGCCAGCGAAAGAGGGAACACAAG